rnacentral:rRNA from 1 species
UACGAAGGGGGCUAGCGUUGUUCGGAAUUACUGGGCGUAAAGCGCACGUAGGCGGAUAUUUAAGUCAGGGGUGAAAUCCCGGGGCUCAACCCCGGAACUGCCUCUGAUACUGGGUGUCUUGAGUGUGGUAGAGGUAAGUGGAAUUGCGAGUGUAGAGGUGAAAUUCGUAGAUAUUCGCAGGAACACCAGUGGCGAAGGCGGCUUACUGGACCACAACUGACGCUGAGGUGCGAAAGCGUGGGGAGCAAACAGG